UUAGAAUAAAAUGCAGGGAUGAUUACAAAUGUUCUUACAGUUGAAGCAGGUAAACUAAGCUAAUUUUAUGGUGGACUUACUAUGGAGGGUCUUCCAUAUUUCGGAGGCAAAAUUAUCUCUCAGUAGUCAAGAUGUGAAACUGCUUAUUAUGCAAAAUUAUCUGGCAGGUUUCUGUUCCACUCGUAGAAUCCUAUAGUAUACCAGAAAAUCAUGGCGCUGAUCGAAUUAGUUGCUUCCGCGUAAUCUGGUCCGCUCCAGCGGUUUAGUGAGCAACAGUUGCCGCAAAAGUGAUGGGGGAUGUCUUGUAACUCUAAAAGCAGAAUCAAGUGUUGCCUACAAGGUACCCUCUGCAUGUAUACCUCGGUCUCUGUAUCUCUGGUCAUCUGUCUUUUUGCUUUCUAACUCUUAAUAAGCA